UAGGGAAUCUUCCACAAUGGACGCAAGUCUGAUGGAGCAACGCCGCGUGAGUGAAGAAGGUUUUCGGACCGUAAAGCUCUGUUGUUGGUGAAGAAGGAUAGAGGUAGUAACUGGCCUUUAUUUGACGGUAAUCAACCAGAAAGUCACGGCUAACUACGUGCCAGCAGCCGCGGUAAUACGUAGGUGGCAAGCGUUGUCCGGAUUUAUUGGGCGUAAAGCGAGCGCAGGCGGAGGAAUAAGUCUGAUGUGAAAGCCCUCGGCUUAACCGAGGAAUUGCAUCGGAAACUGUUUUCUUGAGUGCAGAAGAGGAGAGUAGAACUCCAUGUGUAGCGGUGGAAUGCGUAGAUAUAUGGAAGAAUACCAGUGGCGAAGGCGGCUCUCUGGUCUGCAACUGACGCUGAGGCUCGAAAGCAUGGGUAGCGAACAGGAUUAGAUACCCUGGUAGUCCAUGCCGUAAACGAUGAGUGCUAAGUGUUGGGAGGCUUCCGCCUCUCAGUGCUGCAGCUAACGCAUUAAGCACUCCGCCUGGGGGAGUACGACCGCAAGGUUGAAACUCAAAGUGAAUUGAC
rnacentral:rRNA from 1 species